AUUGGGCAUUCUGCUUCAAAGGAGGCUAAGUGGCUCGGAGCCCUUUCCAUUGCUGCACUCUGGCUUGGCGUUCUGUACACACAGCUAUCCUUUCAGUUUCCACAAAAUGGCUUAUUUUCAUUUCUGGAACGGCAGCCACGUGGGAGCCUCCGGUUGCUGUGGAGAAGGCAGGGACGGGCCCAGCUGGUUGACAGCCGCUGGGCUCCUCCAGCCCUCCGCUUCGCCUUGGCCGCCGUGGGGAGGCGGGAGUCCAAGGUUUUUAUAGUUCCUCUCUCGAAUCAGUGCCCGCAGACUCUACAGCUAUGAACAUGCAAUUAGUCUUUGUUUGUGCACAAAAGGGAGCUUGACCCUUGGCCGUCUUUGAUUGGCAUGUACAACCCUUGUAGCUACUUACCUAAGGCCCUCUCCAAGGGGCACGGCGUCUUGUUCCUGCACCUGCCUUCAGUUUUUCUCUUUUGUGACUCGUUUCACAUAAUAUUCGGCCCAACGUGCAGCAAGGUUGCAGGGAUGAAGGCAUCAUGCAGGCACAACUGUGAGCUCCCCGGGGGAAAGGACCGGGUCUCUUCAGCUGUGAUCCGCUCGGCACCCGUCUCAGGGUUUGCGUGUUCACCAUCUCUCACGGACAGAGGGACUUGGAUACCUAUCUUGAUAGGUGCUAACUGACCAGCAUCACUCUGAAGCAUUCUUCACCAAACCCUGAUCUUGACAAACUAAAUGUCUAGAGAUAAUUGUUCUUCUGCCAACACAUCCAGUACCUUGACAAUCUGGACCAAAAUAGAUGCCAGGCCUCCUGGUUUCCCUCACAUAAAUGUCCUGCUGCCCAAACUGACCGGAACUGGUCAAAGGAUGACUAUACUUAAGUUGGCCAUGUCGCGGAGGCCGUUUUCGUUGGUAACUGGCAAUUUUUGAAGCAUCAAAGAUUUACAAAAUGCAUUAUGGUUUCAUGGAACGCUUGGAUUAUUCUGAAGUUCUGGUGUAGAAACAUAUUUAGCUUGUAUUAAUUAGAAAAAGAGAGACACAGUGAUAUUCGUGAACUACAAUCUCUCUUUUUAAAUGAGCAGGCUUAUGGUGAGAUUUGCAAACAUAGAAAUCAUGGUUAGAAGAGACCAUAUAGUAAAAGGAUCCAAGUUUCCAUUCUGGAAAUUAUAAAUGGCAAAAUAUUGAUCUGGACUAGGCAGAAAUGACCAAAUGAGAUUUCUAACAGAAUUUUUCAUAGGCUAUACCUACGUCAUUCCUAGGCUUACUGUAAGUCAUGUCCUUUAAAUGUAUUGUCUCAUUUAAUUCUCACCACUCUGGGAUGUAGGUACCGUUUAAAUUUGCAUCUUAUAGCUGAGGAAACAGAGGCUCACAGAUUGUGACUUAUUCAUGAUCAUAACCUGUAAAGGAAGAGGUGGAAUUUCAGUCCAAAUCUAACUCUAGCUCCCGUGCUCCUUCUCGUAUACCACAUUGCCUUACAGGGGUCCUUAUUAACCUAUGUUAAUAAUAGCCAACAUUUAUUGGGAAUUAGACAAUUUACUGAAUGCUAGGCAUGGUGAUAAGCACUUCACAUAGAAUAGCUCAUUUAAUCGUCAAAACCAUUCUACGAGGUAG
ensembl:lncRNA